GAGUCAAUGAUGAAAUAUUUGCAUUGUCUCUAGAGAGAUGAUGACUUAAAAGUCAUGCUCAGUGGUGUUACAUGAGGACC
rnacentral:snoRNA from 1 species